CGGGAGCAAUCCUGGUGGCGAGUGGCGAACGGGUGAGUAAUAUAUCGGAACGUGCCCAGUCGUGGGGGAUAACGCAGCGAAAGCUGUGCUAAUACCGCAUACGAUCUAUGGGUGAAAGCGGGGGACCGUAAGGCCUCGCGCGAUUGGAGCGGCCGAUAUCAGAUUAGCUUGUUGGUGGGGUAAAAGCCCACCAAGGCGACGAUCUGUAGCUGGUCUGAGAGGACGACCAGCCACACUGGAACUGAGACACGGUCCAGACUCCUACGGGAGGCAGCAGUGGGGAAUUUUGGACAAUGGGCGCAAGCCUGAUCCAGCAAUGCCGCGUGCAGGAUGAAGGCCUUCGGGUUGUAAACUGCUUUUGUACGGAACGAAACGGCUCUUUCUAAUAAAGAGGGCUAAUGACGGUACCGUAAGAAUAAGCACCGGCUAACUACGUGCCAGCAGCCGCGGUAAUACGUAGGGUGCGAGCGUUAAUCGGAAUUACUGGGCGUAAAGCGUGCGCAGGCGGUUAUAUAAGACAGAUGUGAAAUCCCCGGGCUCAACCUGGGACCUGCAUUUGUGACUGUAUAGCUAGAGUACGGUAGAGGGGGAUGGAAUUCCGCGUGUAGCAGUGAAAUGCGUAGAUAUGCGGAGGAACACCGAUGGCGAAGGCAAUCCCCUGGACCUGUACUGACGCUCAUGCACGAAAGCGUGGGGAGCAAACAGGAUUAGAUACCCUGGUAGUCCACGCCCUAAACGAUGUCAACUGGUUGUUGGGUCUUCACUGACUCAGUAACGAAGCUAACGCGUGAAGUUGACCGCCUGGGGAG
rnacentral:rRNA from 1 species